CUGCCUUUCAUCUUGAGGGAUGUUUGCUGUGUUCUGUUGUGAAAGAGGUGCAUUGAUGCCAGUGUCUCCUUGGAUGUUAUGACCAUUGUAAUCUGAACUUGUGUCCACAUCUGUUGAGACGAAACACCUGACUAGUUGGAUGUUCUAAUUCAAUCGUUCCCUGUGUCCUUGAGAACCAGGUGUCCCACUCAGGAAUAAAGGAGAUACAGAUGUAACGGAGAGAGAACUGUGGAGUCUUUGGACCUCAUGUGCACAUCCAUGAAGCUGUGACUAAAGCAGCACAGUGUGGUGUGUCCCAGUCCUUUGGAAGCCAUGUGUCUCAGGCUUUGUUGAUGCUAAGAAGGCCCUGGUGCUAUGGAAAGUCCAGACUCCUGUUCUUGCUCUGAGU